rnacentral:rRNA from 1 species
GAAGUGUGGACGCCAGUCUGCAUGGAGCCGACCUUGAAAUACCACCCUUUAAUGUUUGAUGUUCUAACGUUGACCCGUGAUCCGGGUUGCGGACAGUGUCUGGUGGGUAGUUUGACUGGGGCGGUCUCCUCCUAAAGAGUAACGGAGGAGCACGAAGGUUGGCUAAUCCUGGUCGGACAUCAGGAGGUUAGUGCAAUGGCAUAAGCCAGCUUGACUGCGAGCGUGACGGCGCGAGCAGGUGCGAAAGCAGGUCAUAGUGAUCCGGUGGUUCUGAAUGGAAGGGCCAUCGCUCAACGGAUAAAAGGUACUCCGGGGAUAACAGGCUGAUACCGCCCAAGAGUUCAUAUCGACGGCGGUGUUUGGCACCUCGAUGUCGGCUCAUCACAUCCUGGGGCUGAAGUAGGUCCCAAGGGUAUGGCUGUUCGCCAUUUAAAGUGGUACGCGAGCUGGGUUUAGAACGUCGUGAGACAGUUCGGUCCCUAUCUGCCGUGGGCGCUGGAGAACUGAGGGGGGCUGCUCCUAGUACGAGAGGACCGGAGUGGACGCAUCACUGGUGUUCGGGUUGUCAUGCCAAUGGCACUGCCCGGUAGCUAAAUGCGGAAGAGAUAAGUGCUGAAAGCAUCUAAGCACG